GUGCCAGCCGCCGCGGUAAUAUCGGCAGCCCGAGUGAUGGCCGAUAUUAUUGGGCCUAAAGCGUCCGUAGCUGGCUGCGCAAGUCCGUCGGGAAAUCCACUCGCCCAACGAGUGGGCGUCCGGCGGAAACUGUGCGGCUUGGGACCGGAAGAUCCAAGGGGUACGUCCGGGGUAGGAGUGAAAUCCCGUAAUCCUGGACGGACCACCGAUGGCGAAAGCACCUUGGAAGGACGGAUCCGACAGUGAGGGACGAAAGCCAGGGUCUCCAACCGGAUUAGAUACCCGGGUAGUCC
rnacentral:rRNA from 1 species